GCAUUCGCCCUUCGGGGCGCACCAGGCGCGAAAACUUUACAAUGCCGGCAACGGCGAUAAGGGAACCUCGAGUGCCAGGUUACAAAUCUGGCUGUCGUGAUGCCUAAAAAGCAUUGCAUAGCAGGGGCCGGGCAAGACCGGUGCCAGCCGCCGCGGUAACACCGGCGGCUCGAGUGGUAACCGUUAUUAUUGGGUCUAAAGGGUCUGUAGCCGGCCGGGUAAGUCUCUUGGGAAAUCUGGCAGCUUAACUGUCAGGCUUUCAGGAGAUACUGCCUGGCUCGAGGCCGGGAGAGGUGAGAGGUACUUCAGGGGUAGGGGUGAAAUCUUGUAAUCCUUGAAGGACCACCAGUGGCGAAGGCGUCUCACCAGAACGGACCUGACGGCAAGGGACGAAAGCUAGGGGCACGAACCGGAUUAGAUACCCGGGUAGUCCUAGCCGUAAACGAUACUCGCUAGGUGUCGGCCACGGUGCGACCGUGGUCGGUGCCGUAGGGAAGCCGUGAAGCGAGCCACCUGGGAAGUACGGCCGCAAGGCUGAAACUUAAAGGAAUUGGCGGGGGAGCAC
rnacentral:rRNA from 1 species